rnacentral:misc_RNA from 1 species
UCCCCGUUACCGGGGCAGUCUAGCCAGAAAAAUUCAACUGACCAUAAGGGUUGCGCUCGUUAAUGGACUUAACCAUACAUCUCACGACACGAGCUGACGACGGCCAUGCAUCACCUGUCUCCACGUUCUAAAAGCACAGUCUCCUUUCGGAAACCUUCGCAGGAUGUCAAGCCCUGGUAAGGUUCUACGCUUAUCAUCGAAUUAAACAACACGCUCCACCGCUUGUGCGGGUCCCCGUCAAUUCCUUUAUGUUUUAAGCUUGCGCUCGUACUCCACAGGCGGGAUGCUUAACGCGUUAGCUUCGCUACUACCAGGAUCGAUACUGAUAACAGCUAGCAUCCAUCGUUUACGGCGUGGACUAC